UGAUGUUUAUGGUGUCGAUAUUCGACGUGAUAAACACGAUCAACUUUGUUGAUCACCAAAGUUGAUCGUGUUUAUGACGUCGAAUAUCGACGUCAUAA